rnacentral:tRNA from 1 species
CGCCAGAUAGCUCAGUUGGUAGAGCACCUGACUAGAGAUUCAGAAAGCCCGGGUACAAAACCCGGUCUGGUCC